ACUGCUCAGUAACACGUAGUUAAUCUAACCUAUGGAUGGGAAUAACCUCGGGAAACUGAGAAUAAUACCCAAUAGACCACGGUGCCUGGAAUGGCCCGUGGUUGAAAUGAUUUAUCGCUGUAGGAUGGGACUGCGGCCUAUCAGCUAGUUGGUGAGGUAAUGGCCCACCAAGGCUAUAACAGGUACGGGCUCUGAGAGGAGGGGCCCGGAGAUGGGUACUGAGACACGGACCCAGGCCCUAUGGGGCGCAGCAGGCGAGAAACCUUUGCAAUGUGCGAAAGCACGACAAGGUUAAUCCGAGUGUCUCCUGCUAAAGGAGUCUUUUGUCAGUUUUAGAAUCACUGGUGAAUAAGGGGUGGGCAAGUUCUGGUGUCAGCCGCCGCGGUAAAACCAGCACCUCGAGUGGUCAGGAGGUUUAUUGGGCCUAAAGCAUCCGUAGCCGGUUGCAUAAGUUUUCGGUUAAAUCUAUGCGCUCAACGUAUAGGCCGCCGAAAAUACUGUGCAGCUAGGGAGUGGGAGAGGUACACGGUACUCAAUAGGAAGGGGUAAAAUCCUUUGAUCUAUCGAUGACCACCUGUGGCGAAGGCGGUGUACCAGAACACGUUCGACGGUGAGGGAUGAAAGCUGGGGGAGCAAACCGGAUUAGAUACCCGGGUAGUCCCAGCUAUAAACGAUGCAGACUCGGUGAUGCAUUGGCUUGUGGCCAAUGCAGUGCCGCAGGGAAGCCGUUAAGUCUGCCGCCUGGGAAGUACGUACGCAAGUAUGAAACUUAAAGGAAUUGGCGGGGGAGCAC
rnacentral:rRNA from 1 species